rnacentral:rRNA from 1 species
CCUACGGGAGGCAGCAGUGGGGAAUAUUGGACAAUGGGCGAAAGCCUGAUCCAGCAAUGCCGCGUGUGUGAAGAAGGCCUGCGGGUUGUAAAGCACUUUCAGUUGGGAAGAAAGGUCUUGAGUUAAUAGCUCAGGAUCUUGACGUUACCGACAGAAGAAGCACCGGCUAACUCCGUGCCAGCAGCCGCGGUAAUA